CUAGUAGGCAGAUCGCUGGUGGGUGGGGGGAUCAGUGCUGGCUAACUGACAGGAGAUUGGGCCAGGGUGUGUGGCGUGCAACAGAAAACUCGUGGCCUAAGAGUUAGGAGACCUCGGUUCAAGUUCAGCCUGGCUGCAUAUCAACACCAGGGCCCAUGGAAUCUCAGCCUUGUCCAAUCGCCUCUCUUUGCCUCUGUUUCCCCUUUGAUUGCUUUUUUUCAGCUUCAUUAUUGCUUACGUUUCACCGUGCAGAGUCCUUUUUACCACCCCCGCCAAUGUUUCCAGAGCCUCACAUGAAUGGAACGAAAGGGAGACUCUGGGAUGGAGGGCAGGGCGUCCCCCGGGCCCUGCGAGCUGCAAACAUGGCUGGAAAACACAGCUAGACAGUCCACUGUUUUGCCACAGCCUCUCAGCUCAACGAGUCCCUCUUCUCUGGGAGGUGUUUGCUAAACACGCAGAUUCUAAGGGUCCUUCACCCAAGCUCCCACUUUGGGUGCUUUGGAGCAUCCAGAAACCGGCAAUUGUGAUGAUUUCUGAGCUUAUCCCUGGGUUACAGUCACUGCCACCUUCCUAGACAAUUGGAUCCUACAGGUCAGCAGCCCAGCAAGUGUGUGAACCUGAGUGGAUACACGUGUGUGUUGGGAGGAUGCGAAAGGACUGGAAACAACCAGGAUGUCCAUUAGUGGGGCUGGGCAAGUUCGUUGGGGCUGGUCUACUCCCUGGAGGACACAGCAGGCGUCAGAAAUAAGGAAGAAGGUUUUGAUAAGACAAGAUCUCCAAGAUACGGCUAAGUGAAAAAGCAGGUGCAGAACAGUGUCGUUCCACCGCUUAUGUUAAAGCAUUCAUAAAAGAAGAGACAUAUGGAUAUGCCUGGAUGAUUCUGGAAGGACACACAAGAAACUGGGAGCAGGGUGACCUCUGGGGAAGGAGACCUGGGGUCCAGGAGCAAGAGGGGGACCUUUAUUUAUAUCUGCAUCCCUUCCUGGGUCCUGGGUUCAAAGUCUGACCCUAUUCAGCUGUGUGGCCCUAAGCCCUCUCUGAGUCUCAGUUUCCCCCACGUGCUUAUAGAGUUGUAAGUUUCCAGCCCUAGCCUGGGCUGGCUGGAGGGCCCAGGCGAGCUGAUCCUGCCUCCCCUUCUGUUUUCCAGGACGCUCCGGGUCAGGCCCCACUUGGAGCAAGGAGGGUGGGUACCUGGGGAGGGGGUGGCCCCGUGCAGGGCGGAGCUGAGCUGGAAAAACCGGCAGGGUUGGAGCAGUCAGGGCAGACACGGUCUUCACUCCUCUGCCUGGGGCCUCUCAGCGUCACUCAUUCCCACCCUGCGCCCCUGAUGGGCUGGACCCGAAGGGCUUCUCUAGACCUGGGGCUUUGGGCUGGAGACCAGUGGGGAAGGGGAGAGUGCCUGGGCUUUAAGCUGGGGCUAGAGGGCAAGGAGAGAGACAGAGAGAGAGGAUGGAGAGCAGGAGACACACACACACACACACACACACACACAGAGCCAGGUGCAGCUGAGAGAGGUGAAGAACCAGAGACAGCAGGAGAGACAGUGGGGAUCUCGGGGCAGGAGUUGGGGCGGCCAGGAUCCUGGGGCCGCCUGAGGUACAGGGAGCUUGGGGGCGGGAGGGUGUGGGCACGGGGCAGAGCCUGCUGCAGGCCUCACCAGCAGGGCUGUCUCCACGCCUCGGGGUGGCAGUUGAAGUUCUGUGUGUUCCUAGGAACCAGCUCAGGGGGGCCCCUUCUCUUGCCCCUCCAGCAUUCCCUUGGGACCUUGUACCUGGAGGCUGCCUCUCCAUGGGCCCCUCUCAGAGCAGAGCUGGGAGGCCUGAGGUGAAACUGGACUUACUAGUGCUCAAAACAGAUAAUUGCUGCCUGGAACUGCCUAUGGGUCCCCGGGAUGGCUCCAUUGGGCCUCCGAUGCUGGCUGCCAGAGCCCCGAAUGUUGGACAGAGAAGGGCUCCAGGGGCCUGGAGCCUCAGGUCUGAGAACCUGACAUUGCUCAGCACCCCCAGGCCGUCCUGCAGAUCUGAUGCCCUGGACUCCCAGUCUGAACCCAUCUGUCCUAAGCCCUGCCUGCAGCCUUCCAUGGCUCCCAGUGGCCCAUAAACUAAAACCCCAGCCCCUCACCUUGGUCUAGGGGUGCCUGUUGAUCUGUUUCUGCUCCUGCCUCAUUACCCUGAUCCUCCCUUUCUAUGCUUUUACCCCAGAUAGUCCACACUGGGCCACCACAGGACCUUUGCAUAUGCUCCGGGGAAUUCGCUUCCUCUUCCCAGAGCUCUGUCCUAUGUAUGCUUCAGCCCUCAGCUCAAAGUCACCUCACUAGGAGGCCUCUCCUGCCCUUCUCCUUCCUUUUCUUCUUCUGUUUUUUUUUUUUUUUUUUUGACUCUUUUGGCCGAGCCAUACGGUGUGUGGGAUCUUAGUUCCCUGACCAGGGAUUGAACCCACGGCCCCUGCAUUGGAAGCAUAGAGUGUUAACUACGGGGACACCAGGGAAGUCCCUCUUCUUCCUUCCUUUUAAUGGGACUCCAGCUCUGAGGCCUGCUUCCUCCACGCAAGCGUCAGUUUUCUGAGGACAGGCACCAGCUCUGCCUGAUCACCACUGUGUCCCGCCGUGAGCCAGCCAGUGACCUCCAAGAAGCGGCCUGGACAUUUCUGCUGUGUGGAUUCCUCCUAGGAAGGGAUCUGAGAGGAACCCCUGGGUCUCCCCGCACCAUCCCCACCCCUCCUGCAGUCCCAGCCUCAGAAGAUCCUGCCUCUGAGUCCUCAUAGCUGUGGGGUGGCCCUGGGUGUGAUGUUGUAAUGAAUCACUGGCCAGAAUCCAGUCCUGAUUAUCUCUGGGCUGUGCCUGGCCUACUUGACAUCGAGGGGGCUGGGACCACAGGCCACCGUAUCAGGCGCCCCAGCCAUCCCACUGGGCCUCUGGCCGCAGAUAACUGCACAGGCCCUGCUGGCCUCACCUCAGCUGAGGCACCUGCACCAGGGACAUGCUAGGUGGCCUCGGGCAAGUCCCCGCCUUCCUCUGGGUUCCCAAGUCACGGGGGGUGGGGUCCUGCCCCAUAGAAGAGAGUGGCGGGUGCAGGGGACGUGGAGUCUGUGGCUGGGAGACCUUGGAUGUGAUAGAAGUGACUUCUCAAGGAGAGUGAAAUAGGAAAGGGCUGACACAUGAUGAGAUUCCCAUGUGUCCCCCAUGGGGGCAGGGACAGUCCGGGGUGACUGACAGCCCAAAGGAACCCUGGAUGCCCCAGGUUUACAGUGUCCUGAGGCCCAUUGAAGUGGAGGCAGAAUGUGCUGGCAAGUGAGGCUCUGAGCUACUUCUUGGGCACUGAUCCCACGAUGGCCUCAGUUUCCUCCUUGUAAAGCAGGGACCGUAAGAGUUUCCACUUCACAGGGACGUGCUUACAUGGGAUACUGUCUGUGAGGCACUUGGAACCGUGCCUGACGGUGGGAAGCAAUCAAUAAGGACCGUUACUGCCACCCCCGAAGUCUUGCCUUUUCCGGUCCCCACUGCUCAGGGGUUCCCACCCCCACACCGUUCAGCCUGGACGAUCGCUCUCCUGCUCCGUCUCACCCCUACAUCUCCUCUCCACGCGCGCUGCCCGAUGGAGCCUUAGGAAACAUAAGCAGGAUCCCCAUGCAGCAACUUCACUCAACAGUCUGCGUGGUUCCCACUGCCCUCAGAAUAAGGCUUAGCCUCCUAAUCACAGCCCGAAGGUGCUGCCUGACGUUCCCCGCCAGGCUCCUGCCACUCUCCCUCUCAGGCGCUCUGCCGGAGCGCUUUCCUCCCUGCCCCCUGCGGGUCUCGUCUCCGUGGAUCUCUCCUUGCAGCCAUCAUUAUGGCCAUAUGGUCACACUCGCUCAGUCGAUGACUCAGUGGAGGUCUAGUCCCUGCUCCGGAAUGCGAGGCAGGAACCAUGUCAGUUCUGUUUCCAGCUCUAUUGCCGUGCCCAGCACAGGGCUUGACACACACCAGGUGUAACAUAAAGAUUUGUCGAAUGCGUGGAUGAAGAAUGGUUUGGUGAGCCGGAGGUUGGGGUGGGCUGGACGUCACUGAAAGCUCAGGUUCUUCCCACCUCGUGGUUCUGUCCUCUCUUCUCAGCCCCUUUCUUUAUAGCUCCAUGAUGGCUGCCAAAUCUCCUGCCAUCUCUUCCUCACGUGGCUAUGGUCAAGGCAGGCAAAGGCCUUCAUAUGUCCUCCUAAGAAUGAAGAAAUUGUUCCCAGACAUCCUUUGGCAGAAUUCCCCAUCUCACUGGCCACAGAUACACUCCAUGUCUAACCUCAGCCAAUCAGUGCAAGGGGAGAGAGAGGGCCACGUUUGGCUGGGGCCAAUUAGCAUUCGCCCCCCAGGGCACUGUGGGCAGAGUCUGCCCUUGACUUAUAAGAGAGAAUCCAGCUGGGGCCAGGUCUGGGGCCAGGGCUGUGGACCCUGAACUGGGGACAUUCUGAGCACCACUGAGGCUGUGGGUCCCCCACCCUGCCUUCCUUCUCUAGGGAACCCUUGGGUGGUGUCUGUGAGAGGAAAGGUACGGCUGGGUGAGGGUGUCAGGCAAAUUAGAUGGCCAGAGGCCUUCUCCUCAAUAAAUAUUGAUAGAGCCAGAAAUGGAGCGGAGGUGGGCGGGCCCAGAGCGAAUGUAGGGAAGAGGGAGCCUGGGCCAGAGAUACUGAGGGAGAGCCAGAGAGAAACGAUGGAGAGGUGGAGACACUGAGCGAGAGACAGAGAGACAUGGGGAAGAGACAGAGACAUGGGGGAGAGACAGAGACAUGGGGAAGAGACAGGGAGAUAUGAGGGAGAGAUAGAGACAUGGGGGAGAGACAGAGACAGAGGGAGAGACAGAGAGACAGAGGGAGAGACAGAGAGACGGGGGAGACAGAGAUAGAGGGAGAGAUAGAUAUGAGGGAGAGACAGAGAGACAGGGGGAGAGACAGAGACAUAGGGGACAGACAGAGACAUGGGGGAGAGACAGAGAGACAGAGGGAGAGACAGAGAGACAGAGGGAGAGACAGAGACACUGAGGGAGAGACAGAGGAAAGAGAAAGGCAGGGAGACACAGAAGGGGAGAGAAACAAAGAGAGACUUCGCAGGAAGGCUUCUGCGUCAGCGCCUUAGCAGGCAGAGGCCCUGUCAUGGUGGAGCAGCAUCUCUGCCCCUUCUCCUUGCACUGCUGUCCUGGGCCAGUCGUGUGCCAGCCUAAGCUUUGGUGUCCUCCUCUGCUGGAUGGGGUAAACGACCCCUUUCCAUAGGACUGCUCAGCAGGCCCAGCACACCGGGAUUAUCAUUGCCUCAGUGGCCUCUUUUGGCCUGUAAGUGGCCUGGAAUGGUUGGGAAUUCUUGCCCCAGGGGACAGGGGGGAUGUGCCCAGGGUCACAGCAAGAGGGCAGGAGGGAUCUUGGCCAUGAUUCUAAAGCCUGUGCCCUGUCUGUGCCCCGCAGGGCUGAAUGGAGCAGGGAGGAGGGGCAUCCCAGCUGCUGGGCACUCUGAAGGGUGGUGCUCACAGCAGUCCUGGUGAUAAAGCCAAUGGCCCCUGUGCUCUCAGGGUGGCCCAAGUACUGGACACCAACCCGCUGAGGGCAAAGCUGCUCGAUUCUACUCAUUUUGUACUUCCUAGUAUGCUGAUGAGGAAACAGCCUCAGAGACCCGCAGUGACUUCCUAAGACAGAGCCGGGGUUUGGACUCAGACAGACCUGGGUCUGAGUCCCUGCUCCUCACAGGCUGGCUGACCUGGGGGCAGCACCUCCUUUCUCUCAGCCUCAGUUUCCCCAUUUAUAAAAUAGGAAAACAGCAGUUUAAAAGAUUUAAAAGACAUGAGGAUUAAAUGAGAUGAUGUAGAGAAAACGCCUAAGCAUGGGUCCUGGUACACAGUCAAUGUUCAAUAAAGGUUAAAUGGUAGGUUGGGUAAUAGUUUUAAAGUAAUUUGAAAACAAUCCCUUUAAUUGCUCUCCUUUUUACAGAGGAAGAGCUGAGGUCCAGAGAGGGGAAGUGACUUGCCCAAGGUCCCCGGCCAAGUGGAUGAGCUGAGAUUGGAAUCUCGUGAUCCAGAGGCCAGAGCUUGCUGCCGGCACUUCGUGGCGCCGUGAUGGCUCAGCUCUGGACUGCCUGUUGGAGUGUCAGUCCCUGUGGGUCAAGGAGAUGCCCGUGGCUUGGUCCCAUGUCCCUCUGGCUUGGCAUUAGUCGUAUCACCCGUUGGGAUGGUUGCAAAAUCCCACUCUCUUUAGCAGUCGAUAAAGAGCGCCCAUUGCAAAACUCUCAGCGGCAAAAUUAUUAAAUGUUGUGUCACCCUGCGGCCAGGCCCUGGGUGCCCCUUUCCUGCCUGGAGGCCUGGGUGGAGCCGAGUUUUCACUCUCUCCCUCCUGUCCUGACCCAGCAGAGGCUGGGGUGGGCUGGGAGUCAGCAGGGGGCUUUCAGGGAGUGGGCAGAGGGCACACCUGGGCCCUGGGCCCACCCACAGCUCUCCACUUUCAGGAAAUGACGGCUCCACCCUUCCAGGUGCUCAGGCUCAAACCUUGGGGUCACUCGAUCCACCUCUUGUCCCACAUCCGAUAGUUGGUAGGAGAUUCUGUCAGCCCUACCCUUGAAAUACAUCCAGACCCAACCAGGUUGCCCCCCUUCACUUCCACACCUGGAUUCAAAGUACCUCGUUGCUGAUCUCGCCAUUUUCCACACAGCCCAAAGGGUCCUGCUAAACCCAGGUGGAUCCUAAGUCAGAUCUUGUCCUUCUGCUUAGAACCCUCCGUGGCUCAUGUCCAGAACACAAGCCAAAGUCUUCCCAAGGCCCACAGGGCCCUGCCUCAUCUGGCCCCAUUGCCUUUCUGACCUCCUCAUCACUACUCUCUCUUCCUAGCUCACUUUUCUCCACUCCGAUUGCCUCCUUGCGAGCUCUCCAACACACCAGAUGUGGUCUCCUCCCAGGGCUUUGCCUUGCUGUUCCAUGUGUCUGGAGCGCUCUUCCCCCAGCUCUGCCGCAUAGCUGGAUCCCGCGCGUCAUUCAGACCUCAUCUCAAUGUCACUGCCUCCAGGACGCCUUCCCUGGCUACCCUGCUGAAGCGUCACCUCCAGUAUCACCCUCAGCCCUUCUUUCUUCCUGACUUGCCAUCAUAUUACAUAUUUGUUUAUUUGUUUAAUAUGUGUCUCCUUCCUCAGGGCAGGGACUGUUGUCUGUUCUGUUCACAGUCCUUCCCUGGUGCUCAGCCCAGGCCUGGCCCAUAGCGCGUGUGUGCGUGUGUGCGCAGUCAUGUCUGACUGUUUGUGACCCCAUGGACUGCAGCCCACCAGCCUCCUCUGUCCACGUCUCUUCUUGUCCUCCUUCUCCAGGCAAGAAUACCAGGGUGGGCUGCCAUUUCCUCCUCCAGGGCAUCUUCCCGAUGCAGGGAUCGAAACUGCAUCUCCUGCAUUGGUGGGCAGACUGUUUACCACUGAGCCACCUGGGAAGCUCCUGGCACACAGUAGGUGUGCCACAAAGUUUUGCUGAAUCAGGGCAUGAGUGGGCAGGAAGGGCCAUGUCGGCCUAGAUUACACCUCAGUGAACCUCACCAGGGCCAGUGAACGUGCUUUGCCCUCUUCAGCUUGUAUUUGGAGACAUUUUCCUGGCCAGCCUGUCAGAUGGUCCCUCGACUGCCCGACUCCCCCGAGGGCCCCCUAUCCAGCUCCCUGACAGCACUCACCAUGAACUUGACUUGUUUUGUUUGUGUCUAUAUCUACUCUCAGCCCUCCUUCCCCCAGCCUCGGAGCUCUGUGACAACAGACCCACGGCUGCCUUGGUUCUCCCGCUGCUCCCCAGUGCCCAGCAAGGAGUCUGGCACCCUGUGGGAUGUGUCAGGGCCUGGCUGAUCCAGAUUUGUGUUACAAACCCGCCAGCAGAGCCCACUGGCCAGGAAGGAGUUAAGCGGAGACACGGUGCCCGGACCUGCAAAGUCAGGGAGAGAAGGGGGCCCGCUGGGGCCUUAAUUAUAACACGUCUGUCCCAUAAUGACACGGUGUUAUAAACGGCACACAAAGUGUACUAAUCUGAUAUUAUAUCUGGGCUUUUUACAAUAGAUACAAUCAACCGACUGUAGUUUGCUAACUCAUUCUCGACCUAUCUCCACGCUCCACCUAGAUUAUUAUCAGCUUCCUUAAUUAAGUGGAAGGCAGAGCUCUGCAGGCAAUGCCCACAGCCCCAGCACCACCAAGUCCAGCCCAGCCCUCCCAUAAGCCGGGAUAAUAGCUACUCCCACACGGGGCGAGGCUUCCACCGCCUCCUCCAUCCCAAACCCUUGUCCCAGGCUUGGGCGGGACAGGCCUGUUCAAGGCCUCCUGAACCAAGUGCUAACCACCAAGGGCUCAAGCUGGUGGCCCGUGGGCCUGCUUGGCCUCGAGGCACGUUGGGUUUGGCCCUUGCAGUGCUUUUGCUGAAAGUGAAAAUGAGUUGCCAACCCUGAACAUUAAGGAUGUUGCACAGAAACAUCCACACUUCUGGCUUCCCUUGAGAAACGAGAGGAUCCAGGGGCCCCGGGUUCGUAACUGCUGUGUGUUGGAGCUGAGGAAUGGCUGCCGCCAAGGGCCCUACCCGGCCACAGCCGCCCCCUACCUGUUUCACUUUUGUGUCCCUCCCUGACUCUUGUGGGCAGCUGAGUUUGCGACCCAAGCUGUAGGGUUAGAGGUCAGUUACCCAUUUGGAAGACACUGAGGCUCAGAAAGAGUGCGUGACUUAACUAAUAUUGCACGGUGAGCCCAGAACUCAGGUCGCAAUCCUUUACUAAGUCUUUCCUGAGCACCUACUGUAUGCCAGGCCCAGGGACACACACAGCGCGAGUGUGGUAAAUAUCAUCCCGCCUUCUAGAUGUAACACUCUCCUGCUCUCCACGGCCAUAAUGCCAUCUUUAUUGCUGGGUAAUGGUAUCUGUUGGAGACAGGUCCUUUCUCAUCCCCUUGAAGUAGCUGGAAGUAGAUUUUUCAUAGCUGCUGGACUCCAUCUUGGGACAGGAAGUGGAAGCAGCCAUCUUGGAAGGAAACCCUUGGAAGAGUUCCCAUGACAAGGCCGCCCCUACUUUCCAGUCUGGGCUCUCAGAGCGCAGGAGGGGGUGACAGGGUCGGCUGACAGGCAUGGAGGGUGGGAGUGAGGGUGUGUGGUGGGGAAGUGGGCAGAGAAGGCACAGGAGAAUCAGCUAGACAGAAUCGGAGGGCUUGUCCAUCCUGACUGAACCAAAGGUCAAUCAAUCAGGCUUCUCCCACUCCCUUCCAAAAGACAAAAUGUGGAAGGACAAGUCACCAGAAUACCCAAGUUAUGCCACUUGGCGGUCCAGGAAAAAGGCGUUUGCUCAGCCAGCUUGGGAGACAUCACUCCUCCCACCCCAACACCACAGCGCCAGCCCUGGUCAGGAGGAGAAACUGCAGCCAGGAACGUCUAUCCCCAGCCCCUCAGACCCUGCUCGGGUCUCACUGAGCCCAGGGCCAUCAAGGUUAUGGCAGACCUGCUGGCCUCCCAGGAGCCACAUGUGAAGAGCGUUCAGCUGCCCGCACGCUCUGUGGAGUGGUUCCUUACUGACGCGGGGCGGGGGGGAUGAAUAACAGUCCCAGCCAUCAUGUGCGUUUGCUAAAAAUAAACUUGACAUACUUUUGCGUUGGGAAACAAUGUGGAUUCCAAACAUUCUCAAAGGGCAGAGAGGGGAAAAAAGGGAAGAAUGGAAAUCAAGUUUUUGAGCUUAGUAAUUAAUUAGCCUGUAAACAAAUGACUCACGCUCUUUCCUGGCUAUUUUUCUUUCCGUUUUGCGUGGAUUUUCGUAGGGGCAGGGGGAGGGAGGCCAAGUGAACCAAACACAGAAGCAAGACUGGACCCAGAUCCGUCUCCCUGGGGUGCGGGAUGGCAACUGUUGGAGAAGGAGAGGCAGAGCUUCAGGUGGAGGGGACAGCUUGCUGCUCGCGGCAGCUCUGAGAACUGAAAGAGCUUGGCACAUUCCAGGAGCAGGGAGAAGCCUAGUAUGGCUUGAGUGGAGUAAGCAAGGGGGUAAAAUCAGAGAGGUCCCGGGGCCAGAUCAUUUGGACCCCUAUCUGUUGCAUGUGCAGCGUCUAGACUCGACCCUGAAGACGGUGGGAGCCACAGAAACGUUUUGAGCCAAGAAGGAAUAUCAUCUCAUUCAUACAAUGACGUCGUUUAAAAAUUGGGCGAUCAGAAUAAUAAAUUCGAAAUGUUCUCUGUUGUUUGGAUGCUUCUUGUCUUUAGAUUUCCCCAACGAAUACUGAUCCAGUGGUUGUAUUUCCUGAGGGUUCCUAGGGUUAGUGUCUGUCUCUUCUCCAUAGAACACCAGCCCCGUGAUAUCAGAGACUUUCUCGGUCUUGUUUACUUCUGUGCCCCUAGUGCCAAGACCAAGCCUUGGCACACAGUAGGAGCCCAGCAAAUGCUUGUCAAGUGACUGAGCCCUCUCUGCAAGGUCAGCAGUCUCGUUUCAUUUUGUCAAAGGAGGAGCGGAGGGUAGUGAGGGCCCCACAGCCAGCCUGGGAUGGUCCUGGGAAAGGCAUGUUUUAUUUAGUUCAAAAUAAGGAGAAGUUUUAAAGGGAAAAUCACUUCUGUAAGGGACUGGGCUCCCCAGUAAUGGGGGCAUUCAAAUAGGGUGCACACCACCAGCCCCACAGUACCUGUCUCUGAUUUGAGACAGACUUUGUGCCAGCUCACAGAUGUCAUCCGACAAUGAAUGAGGUUGGGGGUGUUGCCCAUUGUGCUGAGAAGUCGAGACCUAGAGAGGAGGUGUGACAUGUCCAAAGCCACACAGUCACAAGCAGGGGAGCCCACACUGGAAUCCAGGUAUGACGACGAAGGCUUUUAACUCCUUUUCUGAGCCGUCAACAUUGGUUGAGUCUCAGCUCCACCACUUAGAUGCUGUGUGACCUGGGGCAAGUCACUUUACCUUUCUGAUCUUCUGUGUCUUGCUACGUUAAAUGGGGGUGUGGAUACCUGCCUUGCAGGGCUGCUGGGUGGAGUUACGGAGGUCUGAGUGGAUAACAGCCACACACGGUGCUCAGAGCUCAUGGACCCCUCCUCUCUCUGCUUGGGUCCUUUUGACUUUGGCCCUCCUCCUGGGCUGUGGACCCCCUCUUCGGUCAGCCACUCCCCAGAGUCUGGUAUCCAGGCACCCACCGCCCACUGGGUGUUGAAUCACCCAUGCCAUGCGCUUCUUGCCUUCUGCCUGCAUUUUCUUCUUCCUCCUUUUCUUGGUAAACCUACUGCCUUGUCUGAUUGCCAAAGGUCCUCUCAGGGAGUGGCGAGCGGGGCAGGGAGACCCCUUCAUCCCACGAAUGUUUCCGCUGCUUCCUCAUCCCUCCCACCCUCACCACGCCAGCUGAGAUCACUAGGCACGAGGCUUGGACCAAGAGUGCAGGAAACUGAGGCCUGGGGUCGCAGAGCCAAGGAGUGGUAGAGCCAAGCUUUGACUCCCCAGUGGGAAAUGGUUCUACAGACGGGCAAGAUGAUCAUCAUUGGGGUCUUCAGCCAUCUGGAUGCUUUCUUCACAGCACGUGUGCACUGAGCAGGCCCUGCACGUUGUGUGGAAGCCCACCCUGACCUCCUCUGGCUCUUGAGGUGACCUGGACUUCCUCUGUUGAAGAAUGUUGCCUCUUUCACAUGCUAAUCUCUCAUCCCAAGCUGGACCCCCUGACUGGGACCCAAAAGAGGGCUAUAUCUCCAGAGGCCGGCAAGAACCCAGCACAGGGCGGCCAUGGGGGCCAGGUGUUGGGUGAAUGACAUCACCGAGCACCUGUUGCGUGCCGAACCCUUCACACACGAGUCCGGCUUUUAACAUCUUUCUUCCGGAAUGCUGGCUUUGCCAAGACUGGUGCAUAGUAAGCGCUCCAGGAUUAUGUGAUGGAAGUGCUGAGAUGAACUGUCACUCAGAGGAAAGAAGACUUCCUGAGGAUGGGGCCUUAGCAGAUUGAGCUCAUGAGACGAUCAAAAUAAGAAGAAAAUAAUAAUUGUAAUUUAUUAUUAUCCAGGAUCAUUAUUUAUUAUCAUUACUUAUUAUGAUCCCAGAUCAUAAUAAAUGUUCAUCUUCCCAGGGGCUUGGUACUGCUCUUGUGCUCAUCUCAUAGACGGGGGAACUGAGGCACAGAGAGGUGAAGGUGGAAACCCCAAGUCACACAGUCAGUGAGUGGCAGAGCCAGGAUUAGACCAACGCUGUUUGCCUGAGGAGACCGUCCUGAGCUUAUUACAACACACCUUCCACUAUUAAAAAGAGAAGUGCUGAUGGCUGUACCCAUUUUGCAGAUGAGGAAACAGAGGUUCUGAGAAGCCAAAGGGCUGGCCCGUGUCUGGAAGCAGAGAUGGUGGCUCAGCUGGAGGCGCGCAAGGGAACGCCCCAGCCUCCAGGGUUAGUACUCUAAAGGAGGGGGAAGCUGUCCCCUGCCUGUUCAUGUGUCUGGCCAAUACCCCAGCCUCUGUUUACCCAGCCCAACACCCAAAAGCUGCCUCUUCCGCCUGCCCUGGAGUCUCGGGUGCCUUCACAAUAGGAUUCUCUGUCUGUGCAGCUGGUUUUCAUUCAAGCCCUUUGUGCUGAAAAUAAAAAAAUGAAAAGAAAACUUGGCUCCUCCCCACUGCUUUGCUUCCCAGGGAGAGAGGAUCUCAGCCUUUUCUUUCCCGCAUUCUGGGGCCCAGAGAUGUCCAUCGACUGUCCAAGAUCACACAGCAGGGUUGGAGCCAGGACCUGGCCGUGGGCUCCUCAUCCAGUGCUCUGCUCACAGUCCCCAGCCUCCAGCUUCAGGGCCGGUCACCCCCUCCCGGCCCCUGCAUCUGCUUCUUCCUGA
ensembl:lncRNA